UAUACCGUCUCUCCGAAUACGAAAAUACUGGAGAGUGGAGACUCAUAUUCUCUCUAUUUCUCUCGCCGUCUUGAGGUCUCCUUCCUUUUUUUCCUAUUCUCCAUUUCUCGUCUCUACUUUUUUCUCCGUUUCCCUCUCUGAAACUCCAAGACGAACCAACUUGAAGAAGCCCUCCACCACUUUUUGUCUUUCUCUUGCUGCGAGUACUAGGUGAGAGUGGCCAUGGAGCUGACGGAGGAGAAUCUCAUUUAUUGAGAUUGAAGACUUGGAUGGCUGAUUAGGAGAACCCAUUUCCUGAGAUUGAUGAAAUAUUGGAUGAGUUCAGGGUCUGCCAUUUUUCGCGCCAGGAGCUUCCCGUUAGAAUGGCAAGUGGAGAAUUGUGUCUAGAAUGCUCCAUAGUACUCUGCAACAGUGGAAGGAAAACCUCUUGUUCUGAAUGUAGUUAGACGGUCUGAGCAGCUGCUAGUAAAUGACUAGUCUCGUGCUAAGGAGUAUCUUCCCAUUACUGGAUUAGCGGAUUUCAAUAAAUUGAGUGCCAAACUAAUUUUUGGUGCUGACAGCCCUGCUAUUCAAGAAAACAGGGUAGCUACUGUCCAGUGCUUAUCUGGUACUGGCUCUCUGAGGGUUGGAGCUGAGUUUCUGGCAAAACAUUACCACCAAGCCUGCUUGAGGACCUCAGUUCUGCCCCAUCAGGAGCAAUAGUGCUUCUUCGUGCAUGUGCUCAUAAUCCAACUGGUGUUGAUCCUACCGUUGAACAGUGGGAACAGAUCAGGCAUUUGAUAAGAUCAAAGGGGUUGUUACCUUUCUUUGACAGUGCAUAUCAGAUUUCUUGCUAUUUCCAUUCCAAGUUAAAGGCAGACCUAUCAAGUACAUAUAUAAAGAUUGGAAAUUCUUGUAAUAUUCAUUAUGGAUCUUGAUCAAUUUCUGGCUUCUUUGGUCAAGAUAACAUUCAAGUUGGGAAUCUUGUUAUUAAGGAUCAAGUUUUCAUAGAGGCCACAUGAGAAGUCUCUCUUUCUUAUUAGCGAAGUUUGAUGGCAUACUUGGUCUUGGGAUUCAAGAAAUUUCUGUUGGCAAUGUUGUGCCCUUCUUGUUAAAAGAUGCAACGAGUGAUUCUUAAAGCAUAGUUGAAGACAAUGGAUAAUUCUUUUAUAUUUAAAAUUUCUCUAUUUUUUUGAAAGUCAUAUAGACUUUAAUAUGUAUUGAGGGAAAUUUAACAUUUGUAAUGCAUUUUAAACAAUGGAUGUAUUUUUUUGGUAGAACAAUUGAUGUAUUCAAAUUAUGUGGCAU